GAUAAAGUGCCUGAAAAAGGAUUAUCUUGAUAGGAUAAAACAUGUAAUUUUUUAUUACCUUUAUUA
rnacentral:tRNA from 1 species